rnacentral:SRP_RNA from 2 species
UCGGAAGAUCAGCGCGGGCGGACGUUUCGCCAACCCGGUCAGGCCCGAAAGGGAGCAGCCGUAACGAUUUUUUCCGGGUCGUUGCUGGUCUUCUACUUC